rnacentral:rRNA from 1 species
UAUCGCUAAAGGAUGGGCCUGCGUCUGAUUAGCUAGUUGGUAGUGUAACGGACUACCAAGGCGAUGAUCAGUAGCCGGUCUGAGAGGAUGAACGGCCACAUUGGGACUGAGACACGGCCCAAACUCCUACGGGAGGCAGCAGUGGGGAAUAUUGCACAAUGGGGGAAACCCUGAUGCAGCGACGCCGCGUGAGUGAUGAAGUAUUUCGGUAUGUAAAACUCUAUCAGCAGGGAAGAUAAUGACGGUACCUGACUAAGAAGCACCGGCUAAAUACGUGCCAGCAGCCGCGGUAAUACGUAUGGUGCAAGCGUUAUCCGGAUUUACUGGGUGUAAAGGGUGCGUAGGUGGUAUGGCAAGUCAGAAGUGAAAGGCUGGGGCUCAACCCCGGGACUGCUUUUGAAACUGUCAAACUAGAGUACAGGAGAGGAAAGCGGAAUUCCUAGUGUAGCGGUGAAAUGCGUAGAUAUUAGGAGGAACACCAGUGGCGAAGGCGGCUCUCUGGACUG